rnacentral:lncRNA from 1 species
AGUGCCCCUGUGUUGAGGCUGCAGAGGCCCUAAUUGGUUUUCCCAAGACAGAGGGGCAUAUGAGAUUGAACAAAUAUUUGUUGAAUGAAUGAACAAAGGGAACGCCUUUUAGGGAUGUUUCUGGGGGAAAGGCCUGAGGUUCUCCAGGAGGGUCUGCAGCUAGGGUCGGCCGUGGGGGCUCGCAGCCCGCGGGACCACCGGACCUGCAAGCGUCCCCCUGCCCCGCCCCCGCCUCGGCGCUCUGAGCAAUUGGACUCUGCCAGCUCUAACUCCGGCGGGACUCUGAAACUCAGGCAAGAGCCGAGGUGUUCUGGACUUGGAAGAUUUGUUGAAUUACUAUGAAGUCACAUCUAAAGUUUGAAAGAAUCCUAGAUGGAAUGAGCUUAAGCAGUAAUCGGAGACAUAUUGGUUUAUAUGGCCAAUCUGCAGAAAGGCUGCUGUGUGUGAAAACCUGACUCCAGUCCUCCCAGCCUCUAGGACCCUGCCCAGACCUGGCCUACCUUCUUCCUCACCGCCACUGGAAAAAAACAGACGUCAAAAGCCUUAACAAAAUACUGUCUGAUAUAGCAAAAUGGAACAUGUUUCCUACUAGAAGUAUAUGACCCGAAGGGGGAAAAAUCUGACUCAUUUUAAAAACAAUUGUUAGGGGUGUGUGUGUUUUGAGAGAAAGAAAUAGAAAAGGGCCAAUGUAUUUGCUAUUAAAAAAAUCUUCAAAAUAACAGAAAAAAUUUAAAACUAUGUACUCAAAAAAUGAAUUGCUUUUGUCGUAUUAGAAGUCUAGCCAACAGAAGUAAGGGGAUGGAGACUGAACCAACCAGAGGAGAAAAGGUGGAAGGCGCUGCCCCAGCAGAGACCAGAACAGGGCCAGAUAAAGUUAGGGUCAAAGAUCCACACCCUGUUUGGAAACUAAGCAAUCAACAAGUGUCAGUUGUUAUUUAGGUGCACCAAACAUUUUGGGGGGAAAUGUGAUUUCAGACACAGAUAAUUAUAUGAUAGGGGCCUAUUUGGCUUUCAGAGAAAAUUUUCAAGAUAAAUCAGUAGCUUUAAAUAAAAAUCUAAGUUUGUAAUCAAAGUUUUUCAGAAAUAGCAGAGAAACAUAUUUUCCUUUAAGUAGUUCUCUGUUAAUAGUCUCUAGUCUCAAGCAGUUUUAAUUUUAAAUAGGACUACCUCUAACUUUGUGGGGUCUGGGGCAAGGGUACAAAUAGAGGCCCAUACAGCAUAUACCUAGAUAUUUAAUUUUUUGUUUGUUUGUUUUUUGAGAUGGAGUCUUGCUCUGUCACCCAGGCUGGAGUGCAGUGGCAUGAUCUUGGCUCACUGCAACCUCCACCUCCCUAGUUCAAGCGAUUCUCCUGCUUCAGUCUCCUGAAUAGCUGGGACUACAGGUGCGCGCCACCAUGCCUGGCUAAUUCUUUGUAUUUUUAAUAGAGACAGGGUUUCACCAUGUUAUUCAGGCUGGUCUCGAACUCCUGACCUCAAAUGAUCCACCCACCUCAGCCUCCCAAAGUGCUGGGAUUACAGGCGUGAGCCACUGCGCCUGGCCUGCCAUUCCCUUCUUCCAAUUCUAUUAGGAGGCAGUGUGAAGAAUUCUUUCCCUGCUAUAUGAAUUACAUCACCUACCUUAAAAGUAGGCAGCUACAGUUGGGGUUGAUUGU